rnacentral:lncRNA from 1 species
CGGCUGCCCGCCCUCCCUUUCGCCCCGCGCCUGGACCCGCGGAGCCCCGGGAGCCCCCCAGCCGCCGCCCCCCGCGCGGCGCCGGAGAGCGCAGGAAGCCGGCAUCUGCCAGGCUCCACACGUGGCUGCUCCGGGGUGUCAUUUUUCAUUUCCCGGGAGGACAUUUCUCCUGGUGAGCCGGCAGGUCUGUUUUGUUGUGACCUUUAAUUAACACCCCGAGAGACGCCUGGAGAAGGACCGGCCCAGCGCGGGGAUCACGUGGGGUGUAAUGGCAUCUCCGCUCCCGGAGACACCGGCCUGGGGGUGGGCGCGGGCUCCAAGGCCGUUAGGGGCUCUCCAGGGGCUCGCUUCCUUCUGCGAUAGGGAGGGGGCAGGAAGACACCUUCUGGGGUGCCGAAGCCCCGGGGCGCCCCUCCCGCCCAGCUCCGGGGGGGAUUGUUCCGCGCCCCCCUCUCGCUGCCGCCCGCCCGCCGCAGCCCUGGCACGGGAAGAUUCCACAGCCGCCAGAGCGAGGGAAGGAGGUCGAAAUGAAGACGUCGAGAACAGUGUGGAAGUUUCCAUUACGUUCCUGCUUCCAAUUUAAAAGCGAUCACAUCGAGAGAGAGGACCUCAGGGGGCAGGUACGCCUCCGGGCGGCCCACGGCAGCUGCGGCCACAUCUGUAUUCAGCUGCGGUGCGGAGGCAACGGCCUGUGCUCUCGCGCCGCGCCGCGGAACAGCAGCGAGCGGCCGGGAGAAAGGGACCAGCCGGUGGGGCCCGNNNNNNNNNNNNGGGGGGGUCGAGGGAGAGCUGCUGCGGGGCUGCGAGAUCCACCUUGGAGACGCCGGAGACCCGAGCUGGUCUGAUUUGCAUCCCCAAGGAGCUGGGUCCCCAAAGUGUGUUUGCAGGAGCUGGAAGCUGGGAGCUACAUUUCCCAGAAUACCAACUGACUGCACCACCCAGAGCACUCAAGUGGGAUCCAGAGUGGGAUCCAGAAGAUGGAUGGGAUAUGAGCCAUCAUGUGACUCCCCCUUCAGGAGCAGGCACCUGUGGCGCAUCAACCGAUCACAAGGGCCUUCCUUCCCAGGGAAUUCGUGUCAUGUGACACUGGCAAUGGGUCCUGUGGGCUCCGAAACUUACUGCUCCUCAGCUAGUGUGGGCCAACAGGUGGUGAUGGCUUUCCCUCCCCUUGCCACCCCCUACCCAUCCAGCGAUUCUGCAAGACCUUCAUUCCUUGAAUUAAAUCUCUUCUUGCUUGAGAUACCCAGAAUGGUUUGUGUUCCCCUGACUGAUCCAUCGCCUAAGAAGUGA